rnacentral:rRNA from 1 species
UACAGAGGGUGCUAGCGUUGUUCGGAAUCAUUGGGCGUAAAGGGCGUGUAGGCGGUUUUUUAAGUCAUGUGUGAAAUCUCUAGGGCUCAACCCAGAAACUGCUUUACAUACUGUCGAGCUGGAGUGAUGAAGAGGUUUGUGGAAUUCCUGGUGUAGCGGUGAAAUGCGCAGAUAUCAGGAGGAACACCGGUGGCGAAGGCGGUUCUCUGGGCAUUACCUGACGCUGAGGAGCGAAAGUGUGGGGAGCGAACAGG